UCCCUGUUGGUCCAGUGGUUAGGUCUCUGGACUUCCACUGCAGGGGGCACGGGUUCAAUCUCCUGUCGGGGAG
rnacentral:tRNA from 1 species